rnacentral:rRNA from 1 species
CAGGUCACUCCUACGGGAGGCAGCAGUGGGGAAUUUUGGACAAUGGGGGCGACCCUGAUCCAGCAAUGCCGCGUGUGUGAAGAAGGCCUUCGGGUUGUAAAGCACUUUUGUCCGGAAAGAAAACCGCUUCUCUAAUACAGGGGCGGGAUGACGGUACCGGAAGAAUAAGCACCGGCUAACUACGUGCCAGCAGCCGCGGUAAUACGUAGGGUGCAAGCGUUAAUCGGAAUUACUGGGCGUAAAGCGUGCGCAGGCGGUUCGCUAAGACCGAUGUGAAAUCCCCGGGCUUAACCUGGGAACUGCAUUGGUGACUGGCGGGCUAGAGUAUGGCAGAGGGGGGUAGAAUUCCACGUGUAGCAGUGAAAUGCGUAGAGAUGUGGAGGAAUACCGAUGGCGAAGGCAGCCCCCUGGGCCAAUACUGACGCUCAUGCACGAAAGCGUGGGGAGCAAACAGGAUUAGAUACCCUGGUAGUCCACGCCCUAAACGAUGUCAACUAGUUGUCGGGUCUUCAUUGACUUGGUAACGAAGCUAACGCGUGAAGUUGACCGCCUGGGGAGUACGGUCGCAAGAUUAAAACUUAAAGGAAUUGAC